rnacentral:lncRNA from 1 species
AUCAGUUAAGUGAUUCAGAGGAUAAUGAUGAUGAUAUAUUUGAUGAGUAUGUAGACAAAGAUGUUAUUGUUAAGGAAUUGAGAUCGUGGAUAUAGCACUUUGAUCUAUUUGAAGGUGUAGAUUUUUUUAGAAACGAGCAACCUACUAGGGUAGAAGUAGAGAUGAUGGGAUCUCUGGCCCAUACUAUUUCGAAUUUAAUGAUCCUACAGAUAUGAAAUAGACCAUCAAACUUUCUGUUGGAAUGAAGUUUAGCAAUGCCGC